UGGACUACUCGGGUUUCUAAUCCUGUUCGAUACCCACGCUUUCGUGCCUCAGCGUCAGUGUGGAGCCGGCAUGCUGCCUUCGCAAUCGGAGUUCUGCGCGAUAUCUAUGCAUUUCACCGCUACACCGCGCAUUCCGCAUACUUCUCUCCAACUCGAGACUGCCAGUUUCAACGGCGGGCCGGGGUUGAGCCCCGGGCUUUGACCGCUGACUUAACAGACCGCCUGCGCACCCUUUAAACCCAAUAAAUCCGGAUAACGCUCGCAUCCUCCGUAUUACCGCGGCUGCUGGCAC
rnacentral:misc_RNA from 1 species